AUACAUAGACUGAUUUGGGAUUUUAUUGUUACAAAAUGAUCUGCAGAAACUUCCCAGUUGUAUUUUGUGCCUCCUUCUUGUUGAUCUUUGUCUUAUGUUGGGGACAAAAUACUUUGCCAACUAAUUCAACAUCAUCAACGGAAAACCCUCGUAAUUGCACUCGACAUCCAGGUGGUCCGAGGGAUCCAGAAGAUCAUAGAGGUCCAUGGCACAGGAGGUCUGAAGGACAUGGACAUGGACCGCGAGAUAGAUUCAGAAGUGAAGAAUUUUCUGGUGGAUUUAGACGCUAAUAAUUGAAAUAAAAAAUGUGUAUUUUGAUUUUAAAUUAAAAAAUUAAACUUUUUUAUUACA